rnacentral:rRNA from 1 species
CGGCGGACGGGUGAGUAAUGUAUGGGGAUCUGCCUGAUGGCGGGGGAUAACUACUGGAAACGGUAGCUAAUACCGCAUAAUGUCUACGGACCAAAGCGGGGGACCUCCGGGCCUCGCGCCAUCAGAUGAACCCAUAUGGGAUUAGCUAGUAGGUGGGGUAACGGCUCACCUAGGCGACGAUCCCUAGCUGGUCUGAGAGGAUGACCAGCCACACUGGAACUGAGACACGGUCCAA